AUCUACCCCUUGGUUCGGAAUAACAGUUGGAAACGACUGCUAAUACCGGAUGAUGACGUAAGUCCAAAGAUUUAUCGCCGAGGGAUGAGCCCGCGUAGGAUUAGCUAGUUGGUGUGGUAAAGGCGCACCAAGGCGACGAUCCUUAGCUGGUCUGAGAGGAUGAUCAGCCACACUGGGACUGAGACACGGCCCAGACUCCUACGGGAGGCAGCAGUGGGGAAUAUUGGACAAUGGGCGAAAGCCUGAUCCAGCAAUGCCGCGUGAGUGAUGAAGGCCUUAGGGUUGUAAAGCUCUUUUACCCGGGAUGAUAAUGACAGUACCGGGAGAAUAAGCUCCGGCUAACUCCGUGCCAGCAGCCGCGGUAAUACGGAGGGAGCUAGCGUUAUUCGGAAUUACUGGGCGUAAAGCGCACGUAGGCGGCUUUGU
rnacentral:rRNA from 1 species